rnacentral:lncRNA from 1 species
AUUAUAGUGUGGAAAUGUUCAAACCCCAUGUACCUUUGCCUCUGUGGGGUACUGGGGAGUCCUGUUCUGCCAAAGGUGAUUUUUAUGCUCCUUUGAUGUAGUCUAUUUCGUUCGGUGCCGGGGAGAGGAAGCAUGUGGCGUCUAGAUUGCAACCAUGAUUACCCGGAAGUCAAUUUUUGUUUAAUCUUAAUUAAUGAAAUUUGUACUUUGGACUAAAUUAAUGUCUGAGGUGAAUUGGAUAAAACAAUGUGCUAAGAAAUAUAGUAUGUAAAUAACUAAUUAGUAGGUAAAAAUAAUACCUCGUGGAGUGAAGUUCAUGGGGCUAUUAAAUGAAUUUUAAUCAGAGUAUGGGGCAUUUCAGUUAAGUCUGUUGGGAGGAAUAUAAUAGUUAAGUUUUAAGCACGUAGGUACUUGAGGAGAAGAAGACCAAAAGAAAAGUUCUAUUCUGCUUUGAGUAGAGGCUUUGAAGGUGUAUGAGAUGGAAUAAAAUGUAUGAUUCUCAGAGUAAAAUAAUUGGUUUUUCCUUCUACCCCAUAUUCCCAGAGUAGAGAUAAUCAGUUGAGUUUCCCAGGGGGGAAGGUUUUAUCAUGUUUCAAUAAUGUUAAGUUCACAAAGAAGAUUUUUUACUCAUCUAACCUCUCCCAGGACAAAACCAGCCUGGGAAAGUACAUUUUCACUUCUAACUUCAAGGACAAUGCUCCUGAGAGUGUUGGAGAAGAGAAGGAGAUCACUGAGAUUUUCUGACAGCUUCGACCCUGGGAAGAAGGAUAAAGAGAGAAUGCAAGUGAAACUGCAGGGAGAUUUGAAGCACAGAAAGCUGAAGCAGCAAAAGGAGUAUGCAACUAAGACUAAAAGUAGUGAAGAAGUAAGUCUGUAUUGGUAAAGUACUUUUGAUGAUGAGAAAUCCUACAUGCCAAUGAAAUCAUCCCUGGAUUAGGGAGGAAUGAAUGCUUCACCUGCUUUUAUUUGACAUGGUUCUAAAAGUGUUAGAAAUAACAAGCAGCAAAGAAAUUGAUAAAGACAGAAGAAAAUGUUAUGAUUUACUUGGAAAAUCCAAGAUAAUCAGCAAAGAAACAGAGAUAAUUAAUUUGAUCAGUAAUGAUACACAAUAAAAUUAAUCUGUAUAUAACA